UACAGAGGGUGCGAGCGUUGUCCGGAAUCACUGGGCGUAAAGCGCGUGUAGGUGGGUCGUUAAGUGUCCGCGUGAAAUCCCACGGCUCAACCGUGGAACUGCCGGGCAUACUGGCGAUCUUGAGGCAUUCAGGGGCGAGCGGAACAAGUGGUGGAGCGGUGAAAUGCGUAGAUAUCACUUGGAACGCCAAUGGUGAAAACAGCUCGCUGGGAAUGAUCUGACACUGAGACGCGAAAGCCAGGGGAGCGAACGGG
rnacentral:rRNA from 1 species